rnacentral:rRNA from 1 species
GACGAACGCUGGCGGCGUGCUUAACACAUGCAGGUCGAACGGAAAGGCCCUGCUUUUGUGGGGUGCUCGAGUGGCGAACGGGUGAGUAACACGUGAGUAACCUGCCCUUGACUUUGGGAUAACUUCAGGAAACUGGGGCUAAUACCGGAUAGGAGCUCCUGCUGCAUGGUGGGGGUUGGAAAGUUUCGGCGGUUGGGGAUGGACUCGCGGCUUAUCAGCUUGUUGGUGGGGUAGUGGCUUACCAAGGCUUUGACGGGUAGCCGGCCUGAGAGGGUGACCGGCCACAUUGGGACUGAGAUACGGCCCAGACUGCUACGGGAGGCAGCAGUGGGGAAUAUUGCACAAUGGGCGGAAGCCUGAUGCAGCAGCGCCGCGUGCGGGAUGACGGCCUUCGGGUUGUAAACCGCUUUCGCCUGUGACGAAGCGUGAGUGACGGUAACGGGUAAAGAAGCACCGGCUAACUACGUG